rnacentral:rRNA from 1 species
UGAGUACGAGCUGCUACGGCAGCGAAGUGGGUGAUGUCAAGCUUCCAAGAAAAGCCCUAUACCCGUUAAGGCAUGACGGCCUGUACCCGAAACCGACACAGGUGGGGUGGUAGAGAAUACCGAGGGGCGCGAGAUAACUCUCUCUAAGGAACUCGGCAAAAUGGCCCCGUAACUUCGGGAGAAGGGGUGCCACCGCAAGGUGGUCGCAGUGAAGAGGCCCAGGCGACUGUUUACCAAAAACACAGGUCUCCGCUAAGUCGCAAGACGAUGUAUGGGGGCUGACGCCUGCCCAGUGCCGGAAGGUUAAGGAAGCUGGUCAGCGCAAGCGAAGCUAGCGACUGAAGCCCCGGUGAACGGCGGCCGUAACUAUAACGGUCCUAAGGUAGCGAAAUUCCUUGUCGGGUAAGUUCCGACCCGCACGUAAGGCGUAACGAUCUGGGCGCUGUCUCGGAGAGAGGCUCGGCGAAAUAGUAUUGUCUGUGAAGAUGCGGACUACGUGCACCCGGACAGAAAGACCCUAUGAAGCUUUACUGUAGCUUGGUAUUGUGCCCGGGCUCUGAGUGCGCAGGAUAGGUGGGAGGCUUUGAUCCAUUGCUUGUGGGUAAUGGUGAGCCACUGGUGAGAUACCACUCUUUCAGAGCUAGGGUUCUAACGGUCACCCGUUAUCCGGGGACCGGACAGUAUCAGGUGGGCAGUUUGACUGGGGUGGUCGCCUCCUAAAAGGUAACGGAGGCGCGCAAAGGUUCCCUCAGGCUGGUUGGAAAUCAGCCGACGAGUGUAAAGGCAGAAGGGAGCUUGACUGUGAGACCUACAAGUCGAACAGGGACGAAAGUCGGCCUUAGUGAUCCGACGGUUCUGAGUGGAAGGGCCGUCGCUCAACGGAUAAAAGUUACUCUAGGAUAACAGGCUGAUCUCCCCCAAGAGUUCACAUCGACGGGGAGGUUUGGCACCUCGAUGUCGGCUCAUCGCAACCUGGGGCUGAAGUCGGUCCCAAGGGUUGGGCUGUUCGCCCAUUAAAGCGGUACGCGAGCUGGGUUCAGAACGUCGUGAGACAGUUCGGUCCAUAUCCGGUGCACGCGCAGGAACAUUGAGAGGAUUUCUCCCUAGUACGAGAGGACCGGGAGGAACGCACCUCUGGUGUACCAGUUAUCGUGCCAACGGUAAACGCUGGGUAGCCAUGUGCGGAGUGGAUAACCGCUGAAAGCAUCUAAGUGGGAAGCCCACCUCAAGAUGAGUGUUCCCAUGGCAUAAGCCAGUAAGGUCACGGGAAGAACACCCGUUGAUAGGCUCUACGUGGAAGCGUGGCAACACGUGAAGCGGAGGAGUACUAAUAGACCGAGGGCUUGACCAA